UCUUCCGUGGCGCAAUUGGCUAGCGCGUUCGACUGUUAUACCUUCUUCUGAAGGUCGCAGUCUAUCGAGAGGUUGGUGGUUCGAGCCCACCCGGAAGAG